ACUACUGUGCUCCCGCGCGGUUCCCAUAAUUCCAAGCAUCUACACAUCAUAGAGUAGUGAUUACUCUAUGAUGUGUAGAUGCUGGGAAUUAUGGAAACCGCGAAGGAGCAUGGUAGUUAGC
rnacentral:miRNA from 1 species